rnacentral:rRNA from 1 species
GAACGAACGCUGGCGGCAGGCCUAACACAUGCAAGUCGAGGGAGAAGCCACUUCGGUGGUGGAGACCGGCGCACGGGUGAGUAACACGUGGGAAUGUACCCUUGAGUCCAGGAUAACCGCUGGAAACGGCGGCUAAUACUGGAUAACGGCUCCGGCCCAAAGUUCCGGCGCUCAAGGAUCAGCCCGCGUCUGAUUAGGUAGUUGGUGGGGUAAAAGCCUACCAAGCCGACGAUCAGUAGCUGGUUUGAGAGGAUGAUCAGCCACACUGGUACUGAGACACGGACCAGACUCCUACGGGAGGCAGCAGUCAGGAAUAUUGGACAAUGGGCGCAAGCCUGAUCCAGCCAUGCCGCGUGAGUGAAGAAGGCCUUCGGGUUGUAAAGCUCUUUCAGAUGUGAAGAUGAUGACGGUAACAUCAGAAGAAGCCCCGGCUAACUUCGUGCCAGCAGCCGCGGUAAUACGAAGGGGGCGAGCGUUGUUCGGAAUCACUGGGCGUAAAGCGUACGUAGGCGGAAUGGAAAGUCAGAAGUGAAAGCCCAGGGCUUAACCUUGGAACUGCUUUUGAAACUUCUAUUCUAGAGUUCGGGAGAGGAUAGCGGAAUUUCCAGUGUAGAGGUGAAAUUCGCAGAUAUUGGAAGGAACACCGGUGGCGAAGGCGGCUAUCUGGACCGAUACUGACGCUGAGGUACGACAGCGUGGGGAGCAAACAGGAUUAGAUACCCUGGUAGUCCACGCCGUAAACGAUGUGUGCUAGCUGUUGGGCAGUAUUCUGUUCAGUGGCGCAGCUAACGCAUUAAGCACACCGCCUGGGGAGUACGGUCGCAAGAUUCAAACUCAAAGGAAUUGACGGGGACCCGCACAAGCGGUGGAGCAUGUUGUUUAAUUCGAAGCAACGCGAAGAACCUUACCCACCCUUGACAUCCCGAUCGCGGAUCGCAGAGAUGCUUUCCUUCAGUUCGGCUGGAUCGGUGACAGGUGCUGCAUGGCUGUCGUCAGCUCGUGUCGUGAGAUGUUGGGUUAAGUCCUGCAACGAGCGCAACCCUUGUCGUAUGUUGCCAUCGGGUAAUGCCGGGCACUCGUGCGAGACUGCCGGUGAUAAGCCGGAGGAAGGUAGGGACGAGGUCAAGUCAUCAUGGCCCUUACGGGUGGGGCUACAAACGUGCUACAAUGGCUGUAACAAUGGGCAGCUACUCUGCGAAGAGGUGCUAAUCCCAAAAAGCAGUCUCAGUUCGGAUCGUACUCUGCAACUCGAGUGCAUGAAGUCGGAAUCGCUAGUAAUCGUGGAUCAGCAUGCCACGGUGAUACGUUCCCGGGUCUUGUACACACCGCCCGUCACGUCAUGGGAGUUGGUUCUACCCGAAGGCGGUAGGCUAACCUUGUAGGAGGCAGCCGACCACGGUAGGAUCA